rnacentral:rRNA from 1 species
CCUACGGGAGGCUGCAGUGGGGAAUAUUGGGCAAUGGGCGCAAGCCUGACCCAGCAACGCCGCGUGAAGGAAGAAGGCUUUCGGGUUGUAAACUUCUGUUCUCAGGGACGAAGAUAGUGACUGUACCUUAGGAGUAAGCCACGGCUAACUAGUGGCCAGCAGCCGCGGUAAUACGUAGGUGGUAAGGGGUAUCCGGAUUUACUGGGUGUAAAGGGCGUGUAGGCGGGAAAGAUAGUCAGCGGUGAAAACCAUGGGCUCAACCUGUGGCUUGCCUUUGAAACUGUUUUUCUGGAGUACUGGAGAGGCAGACGGAAUUCCUAGUGUAGCGGUGAAAUGCGUAGAUAUUAGGAGGAACACCAGUGGCGAAGGCGGUCUGCUGGACAGCAACUGACGCUGAGGCGCGAAAGCGUGGGGAGCAAACAGGAUUAGAUACCCCUGUAGUC